rnacentral:misc_RNA from 1 species
GUAUCUUAAGCUUUCCUUUUUCUUUUCUCAUCCAUUCCCCUAAGUUCUUCCCUUGCUAUCACAUUCUCAUACUCGUACCGAGGCAUUUGAUUCUCAGCAUGAUACAUGUUCAAACCAUCUUAAACAAUCAUCUCUCAUUUUACCUUCAAUAUAUAAUACAUGCAUUUUCUAUCGAUUUUUGUCAUUUCUGUCUUGCAAGUUAAAUGCCCAAAAUUCACAAGCAUUCUUUAUCUUCAAUGAGGAAAAUUUCACAAAGAUAUGAAGCUGCUGAAACCAAGGGAAACCACUUUGAAAAAGAAGGGGAAAAGAAGAACAGCAAUAUUAUAGCUAAGAAAAGGAGAUAAAAUUGGAUAGUAUUUGCAGCUCCAAAUUAGGCACAUAAAUGUCCAAUUGUCCAGAUGGAGCAACAAUAAAACGGA